GCGCAGACAGGAGGGCACAGGGCCAGGGCCGAGUGUGUGUCUUACGGGAUGUGCUGUGGAUCUCCUUGGGCAGCCCCGUCUCUGCCUGGUGGCCGACCAUCUGGUUGAAGUGACUCUUGGGGUAUGAGAAGGGCCCCCGGUCUCUGCAGCCACUGAGGCUGGCCCUCCCUGGGGGUCAUCUUCUGGAGCAAGGCUGGCCAGGUGGGCUUCCAGCUGCUUGUCCACGGCCCUGCCCCUGGGGACCCCAGGGAGAUGUCUGCUUGGAGCACACGUGCUGAGAUCCCUGAACAUCUUCUGCUCUGAGGAUCCCUUCACUCCUUCUCUGGGGUGCUGGCCUCGGGAACUGCGAGGCGUCUGGUUGGAGCUGUGGGCUGCAGCCCGGUGCCCCUGGGACUGAGGGAGGUGUGCAGCUUCUUUGUCAUCAGGUCUAAUUACACAGGCUUUCUUACUGUUAUGUAAAGCCCACAUCUGAAUGCAAAGAUAUUCGACUCCAGCGUUCUCCUGGGACCCGCGGCCCUGGUUUCUGUGCCUUCCUCCACCAGGGUUUUAAAUUAAGCUUGAUGGAAUCGCGGCUGCUGCUUAUUCGUCUCCUUCGGGCCUUCUCGGGAAAUCGGUGGCUCUUAAUGAAUGCUGAAGCUGACUCAGCAAGUUCUUCUUACCUGUGGCUUAAGGAAACGGCCUCAACACUCUGUGUUCUUCCUCAUAAGCGGCCUGCCCAUAUGCCUGACUCUCGCGGCUGGAAUUCUGCUAGUGCUGGUGUUGUGGGUUGAAUGUGCCCCCCACAAAAAGAUAUGUUGACGUCCUAGCCCCCCCAGGACCUGUAAAGGUGAACUUAUUUGCCAAUAGGGUUUUUGCAGUUAAAUCAAAUUAAAGAUCUGGGUAUGAGAUAGUCCCAUCCCGGAUAGGGUGCGCCUUAAAUCCUGUAACGGGUGUCCUCAUGAAAAAAGGAGAGAGGUUGGAGGCUCAGGGAGGAGGCCGUGUGGCUGUGAACCAGGGAAUUCCAGGGAUCCUGGGGUCCCCGGAAGCUGAAGAGACAGGAAGAUCCCUCCCUAGAGCCUCCAGAGGGAGAGUGGCCCUGCGGACACCUUGAUUUUGGACUUCCGGCCUCCAAGCUGUUGCUCUAAGCCCCCAGUUUGUGGCCCUUUGUCAUGGAGGCCCCAGGAAAUCCCACGGUGGGCCCAGUUUUCCUGGUGAGGGUGCACUCAGCCGAUAGUGUGGAUCUGUGGUGGGAACACAGCUCCCGAUGUUUGCCUUCUGCCUCCAUGUGGCUUCCCCAUGCCCGGAGGAGGAGCAGAGGGGUUAACAGAAUCCAGUGAGGUGGAGGAGGCGCAGGCUGGGCCCUCGGGGGCAGGGGUCUCAGCGUGGCCCACCCCAGAGGCCAUGAGUCGGGGUCCUGCCCUUGGAGCAGGUAGGGGACCGAGGGGAACUGGGCACCCAUGGUUCACGUCGUGUGCCAGGGAGGAGAUGGCAGAGGGCUCCCCUGGGGUGAGGCUGUGCUGGCCAGGGAGGCCUGGAAGGGGGCAUUCAGGGUGGCGGAAACAGAGCAUGGUGGCCAGCAGAGGCCAGAUGAGGCCGGACUCCAGAGAAAGCCGGGGGAGGCCUUGUGAGGACAGGUGCCAGAGGGCACGUUUCUCAGGCUCACCCUGGUGCUCCGCGGAGAAGAGCAGGGGAUAGAUGGAACCGUGUGAGCCUUUGUGGAGGUGACGUCGCCACUGCGUCACUGGCCGGGAGAUGGCAGGGGCUGGAGGAAGGGCCGGCCUGAGCCCCAUCUGGAGGUGGGAGGGAUACAACCUGUGGGUGGGCUGAGAGAGGGGCUCUCAGGGAGGGGAACUGCAGGCCCCCGGGUCUCCGGCUGGAGCUUCCACAGGGGACUGGGCAGGUGCCCAGAUCAGGAUCCCGAUCUGGGGAGUGUGCUGUGGUCCGGCUCUGUGUCCACACCCAGAUCUCAGGAGGAAUUGUAAUUCCCAGUGUUGGAGGAGGGCCUGGCGGGAGGUAACUGGAUCACGGGGCAGCAUCCCCCUUGCUGUUCUCGUGAUACUAAGUGAGUUCUCACGAGAUCUGAGGGUUUAACCGUGUGAGGUCCUGCCCCUCACAUUCUCUCUCUUCUGCUCUGCCACAGUGAGAAGCGCCUGCUUCCCCUUCACCUUCCGCCAUGAUUGUUUCCUGAGGCCUCCCAGCGAUGCUUCCUGUACAGCCUGCAGAACUGCUCAGCUGAGGAGCUGCUCUUCCUCCAGAAUGCGCUCGCACAGAACGUUAGGAAAGCCGUGGUGAGUGGCCCUGACCUCCACCCCCAGGACUGGCUUCUCUGGCCCCCUGUCCUUUCGGACAGAACAGCUCGUGGCUCUCCCAGGACCUGGGGCCCCAUCUUGGUGGGAGGUGCUUUGUUGAGACUCCUUAGGGACGAUUCUGAUUUUCCCUCGAGCUGUACGAUGGUGGCUUAUCUUUCAAGGUUCCCUGGAGCCCCUGAAGGAGGUUUGGACGCUAGCUGGGCUGCCUGCCUGUGGUGAGGCAGGAAUGAGAGCUGGCGCAGCUGGCACCCCUGGGUGCCUGGUCCUGCUCACGACGCCCACCCCUUGAACCCUGAUGUGGGUGCCCAAGGAUUCUCUCCCCAGGCUCGCAGACUCACCAGAUCACCGGGCAAGCACGGGCAGGCCUGGGGUUGGCUCUGGAGCUGUGGACCGUGUGGUAACCUCAGCGCCCAUGGCUCAUGUCGUGUGCCAGGCAGCAGAUGGUGGAGGGUGUCGGGCUCGCCUGGGGUGAGGCUCUGAUGGUCAGGGAUGCCUGGAAGGGGGCAUUCAGGGGGGCGGGAACAGAGCAUGGUGGCAGGUGGAGGUCAGGGUGAGGUCCAGGCCCUGCCUCUUGGGCUGCGAAGCGAGGCUGUCCCAGGCCAGGCCGCAGGGGCCUGGGGGCCUCUGGUGCUUUGUGGCACACACCUUUCCGUUUGCAGCGACUCCUGCUCAUGCCAUGGGUGGGUCUGUUCUCUCCUCGGCGACGCAGCGCUGUGGCUCACACCUGCCGUGUUACUGGGACAUUUGACUUGCUUUUAGUUUUUUCUGCUUAUAAAUAUCUUUGCACAUCA